UCCAGGUUGAAUCCAUGUGGCCCUGGCCAGGAUGGAUCCACGGGGCCAGGCCAGGCUGGAUCCAUGGGGCCUGGCCAGGCUGCAUCCACGGGACCUUCCCAGGCUGGUUC